rnacentral:tRNA from 1 species
GGCCUCGUAGCUCAACUGGUAGAGCAUGCGCGUACAAAGCGUAGGCGGUGUCCAUGCGUGGGUUCGAANUUCGAAUCCCACCGAGGCUA